rnacentral:misc_RNA from 1 species
GAUGAAGAACGCAGCGAAAUGCGAUAAGUAAUGUGAAUUGCAGAAUUCAGUGAAUCAUCGAAUCUUUGAACGCACAUUGCGCCCCUUGGUAUUCCGGGGGGCAUGCCUGUUCGAGCGUCAUUAUAACCCCUCAAGCUCAGCUUGGUGUUGGGGCCUGCCAACUGGCAGCCCUUAAAAUCUGUGGCGGCGCCAUCUGGCUCUAAGCGUAGUAAUUUCUCUCGCUAUAGGGUCCCGGUGGAUGCUUGCCAACAACCCCCAAUUUUCUAUGGUUGACCUCGGAUCAGGUAGGGAUACCCGCUGAACUUAAGCAUAUCAAUAAGCGAGGA